AAGAGUGACGUUUAUUUUCAGACUUUGUAAUUGUAUGCUUAUCAGCCGCUUUUUUACGGAUGGUAGAUGGUGCCAGUUUGAAUCGGUGUUUCACAUCUGUCAAAAAAUCCCACCGUUCCCCCGGGAUGUGCUCAAUGUUCAGAGCCUAUUAAUCUCCCAAAGUCUUAUAAAUCAAACUGAAAAUAUCUUGAUCAUGAGCGGCCUUCUAGCCCUUCCACAAGAUGAUCCUAUGACAGUUCUAUGGCUCUGUUUAACGCCUUGAUGGAGCUUUGACGUCGGAAGAUACAGAUAAACAGUAUGGGAUUCUCAUAGAAUGAAAUCAUCCUCGUCUAUUCCAAUUAAUGCUUUCUGUCGUAAAUGAAGUGGAUGGAGUCGGUUCAGAUUAAUUUCUCCAUUUUGCAGCAGUAGAAGAAUAUUUUUGUACGAGGCCAGGAUGCAAAACUUUCAGAUAUAGAUACAACGGGCGACCGUUUUGAAAGGCGGCUCCAGACUGGAAUGGAACUCGACAAUGUAUUGCCUCAAAUGGACGUAGACUGUGUCCUCCUGGAAAACAGAUAUCCGUACUUAAAGGCCGCAUCGAUCGAAGUACUGCGACAGGAUCUGUGAAAGGUUGAUCGGGAGAAAACGCAGCUACUGUGCCAGUAAAUACUGCAGUCGGUGCAUCGCCUCUUCGAUGCCUGUGCCACGUGUUGCUGAUUUGACGGCCAACUCAUCAGCGCUUCCACUAGUUUAACAGGGAAUCGUUCCGAUUUCGGCUGUAUUGAGCUCAAAGAUCCAUGAUCAGGCUUGCCUAUUGCCGGGUAGAUUGUGCUUUAUAAUUUUGGUUUAUUUAAACAAUAAAUUUAAUAUUCGAUGGGGUUCUCAACGACUUUUUAUUUGCUGGCCUACACACACACAUACAUAUUUAUGUACAUACAUAUGUUGUAAAUACUUAGUAAAGAAUUGAGCUCCCGUUGAAAUCGGGAUUUGUGUAGAUUGGAAUUUACAAAAUCUAACUGCUGACCGGUGCGCCUCAAUACACAUUCGACAGGGCGAAAUAUUAUCCACUUGAAAAGUUUAUCAAAAGGCCCAGUGCUAAAUACAAGUAUGUGGAUACUUUUGGGCUAAUUGUAUUAAUAAAUUGCUUAGUUUUCGUUUCUGUUAUUCGGGUAAUGCAUACAGGUUUUAAGUCCGGAGGAGCACCACGAGUUGGUCAG
rnacentral:sRNA from 1 species